GUUGCUAUAAACAACUUUUAUUGACAAAAAUUACUUGCGCCACUAAAAUUAUCACUGAAUAGUUAAUUUCGUGUAGUAUCCUCUAAUAUCAUAACAAGGUUUUACUAUCUAUGCGCAGGGUACCCAAAUGCAGAGGGAUUUCUUGCUCCUUACAGAGGACAAAGGUACCACUUGCAGGAGUGGCUAGCGUAAAAAAUGCACUAACAACUGUCAAAGAGUACUUCAACAUGAAAUACUCCUUGGCAUGGAAUGUUAUAAUGCUCGUUUGGUUUGUUGAUGGGUCAAUAGGCUAUCCUUCGUGGCAAGUCAUACUACCCUAUCCAAGUUCAACGUUGCACGAUUCUAACAUGUUUCCUACUGCACAAUCUGAUACAUAGGGAGAUGACCAAUGUCGAUGAUUUGGAGGACAUCGACAAGGGAGACUCGACCUACACGAUGACCGCAGGUGACGACAUUCACUACACUAAGACCUCAAACAAAUGGACUCAGUGGUAGGAUGAAUUAGCCUUGGAGAUGUUCAAUCAAUGGCAUAUGGCAAGUUCGUCACGUGCAUCGAACCAUGUGUGGACAAAGGAGGAGGCCACACUCGUGGAUUGCUUGGUGGAGUUAGUAUCUACUGGUGAAUGAAAGUCAGACAAUGACACGUUUAGACUAGAUUACCUGGCACAACUUGUUCGAAUGAUGGCGGCGAAGUUGUCGAGGUGCAAUGUCUAAGCUACUACUGUUAUUAACUGUCGUAUAAAGAUGUUGAAGCGAACAUUCCAAGCAAUAGCAAAAAUGUAUGACCCAUCAUGCAGUAAAUUUGAAUUUAAUGAUGAGGCUAAGUGCAUAAUUUGAGAAGGACCUGUUCGACAGUUGGGUUAAGACACAUCCUAUAGCAAAGGAUCUCCUCAACAAGCCUUUUCUCUACUACGACCAACUGUCCUAUGUGUUUGGGAAAAAUAGGGCAAUGGAAGGACGUGCGGAAACAUUUGCCAACAUCGAGUCGAAUGACCCUAGCGAGUAUGAGAGAUUUCAACCGCAUGAUGGAAACAAUAUGGACAUCCCUACUAUAAAUAACCAGGGAUUAACAUGUUGCAAGAGGAUAUACGAGCUCUAUGAUCUGGUCGAGCAUCCGACGAUAGAAUGAGAUCAAGUGGAUCAAAAAGCAUCUGACGUCCAUACGAUAGAACGGGAUUAAUGGAAGGCAGCAUGCAAAAACCGUUAACCUCAUCCAUGACGAGAUGCAGUCUGCAAAUGGCUAGUUGAGGGUCAUUGCCGAGUGGCCCACUGUUAUGCUUUAAAAUGAAACUGCAGUUCGUCAGGAAGUUGUUCGUCAGUUGCAUGCUAUCCCGAAACUAAGUAGGUUGGACAGGGUGCGUUGCUUGCAGAUACUAUUUCACAGUUUAGACGACUUGAAAGGUUUCCUUGAAAUACUUGACGACAAGAAGAUGGACUUCUGUGUAUAAAAAGACGUUUAAAUGUUCUUUUACUUCCAUCGCCUGACCUUAUGUUUUUUUAUUUCGCGUGUUAAA